AACGUAGGGGGCCAGCGUUGCUCGGAAUUACUGGGCGUAAAGGGUCUGUAGGCGGUGCGGCAAGUCGGAAGUGAAAUCGCAGGGCUUAACUCUGCGGCUGCUUCCGAAACUGCCGUGCUCGAGUGCGAGAUAGGCGAGUGGAAUUGCAGGUGUAGCGGUGAAAUGCGUAGAUAUCUGCAGGAACAUCCGAGGCGAAAGCGGCUCGCUGGAUCGCAACUGACGCUGAGAGACGAAAGCUAGGGGAGCAAACAGGAUUAGAUACCCUGGUAGUCCUAGCCCUAAACGAUCAGGACUUGGCGUGGCCCCUGUACGGGGGUCGUGCCGUAGCUAACGCGUUAAGUCCUGCGCCUGGGGAGUACGGUCGCAAGGCUGAA
rnacentral:rRNA from 1 species